GCAGGCCCUGGAAACUACCGACACGUAGCACGUGACACACUACACGCGCAAGGAUACCUACAGGUUUAAUAAAAGCUUGAACACAAGUAUCGUCCACGACUGCUUUGAACAAAGGGAAGCAAAGCUGAGCAGACACUGGGGAGUGAUGAGCGGAGUUUUGUCCCUUUAUUAGACAACCUUUGAUAAGUCUACAACUAGAGACUCAAGUGGAGACAGUGGGUUGAGGCCGCUUUCCCUCAUCUUGACUCUAGUGGCUACUUCCUGCCUCCUGUCUACCCCAACCACGUGCCGAUGACCAGACAUCGUUUCUGGACAAGACAUUCUACUCCUUCAGUCAAUAUUUAUACAUUCAGACUCGCUUAGCCAAUCUGAGAGGAUUUCAUCAGAUGCCAGCUUUACUGCUUCCUCUCCUGUAGGAAAGUGAACAAUGUCAUCAGUGGGUGUGUAGUUGUAGAUGUCCAACAGGAAUUUGAAUUUUCUGUCAGCACUUGUAUUGUUUUGUGGUCUUUGACAUACCAGCGAUCUGAAGAUGGGUAGAUGGUCGCUACCCUCAAACUGUCUGGAAACUGAUGUCUUUCUGU